rnacentral:lncRNA from 1 species
UACUGAACUUGGAGACAAGGAGUCUUUGUUCUGACAUACUCUCUAUGUGAAUUUAAUCAGUAAUUUCAACCCUCUUCACUUCAGUUGCUUAUUAUAAAAUGAGGAGUUUGGGCAAGAUGAUAUCAAGAUUUUUUCCCCCAAUUUUAGAUCUCUGAUUCCCUGAUCUUCACUUCAUUACGAUUAUACACAGAAUAAAAAGCAGAAAAUUAAGAAAAUUGCAGGAAUAAUUUUACUACUAAAACUGUUUUCUUCAAUAUCCAAGUAACUGAGGAAAAUUAAUAUUUGGUUUAAAUUCUCCAUGUUUAACUUAGUGAGUAUGUAGAUAUUUCCCCAAAAUUUCAAGUCUAGUAGUAGUAGUAGUCUCUCGGUAACCAAGGAUGACAAUUGUCUUUGUGCACUUUCAUCUGUGAUGUAGAUGAGUGUGCACAAAGACACUUGUGCAUGAAGGAGAUUUAAGUGGAAGAGUCAAUGCACAGAGACAGUCCCACUCUCUUGGCAUUGGAAGCCUGGGUCCAGUGGCACGAAAAGUCGUUACACCUGGAGACUUCCUCAGCUGCAUUGGAUGGCCGUGUUGUUGUGCUCCAACAUGCCCUAAGCACUUCAUAGUGCCUUGCUGCGUCGCCAUCUCAGCCAUUGAACCUUCUUAUUGGUUUCUUCCUUCUGUUCAGCCGAAGCAGUCUUCACAUGCUGGGUUGCAUCUUCCCUGGCUGUAUGUGAGGUCUUAUUUGGCUUUUGCUUGAAACCUGGAACCAGCAAAGUGUCUUGCAAUAGUGUCUGACUCACCAUGAAAAGCAGGAUGAGUGGAGCCAAGAUGGCAGAAUAGAGCAGAGAAACUCAAAGUCACCAUGAGAACCAUUUCUAAACAACCCUAAAAUAACACCACAAAAUGAAUACGAGUGAAAGAACCAACAAGGAGACAAAGUGAAACAACUUUCAAGAGGAGAAAAAUGUAAAAGGUAGGCAAAAAACAUCUGGGACACUGGGAUGAGAGGGAAAUAUAGACAGCAGCAGGCUACAGCAAGGAGUUAGUAGCAAGUUAAGAGCGAGCCCCACCACUUGACCUUCAGGCUACAUGUGCUGUGCCAGGUUCUGAAUCUGAGCUCAAGUCAACCUCCAUACCCUGACACCCUGCCUGGGCAAAAACAGGUCCAAAUAACCCACACCCCUUGAAACUCCAAAACUGUAGUGAAGUCCAGAAUUCCAGUCCUGGGUAGUCUGUGCUGAAGCAGCUUGAUCUAUGUGGGUCCAGAGUGAAACUAGAAGUCCCAGUCUGGAUCUGUGGCAAGGAUAUAGAUCCCAGUUUGGGGUAGUUGGUAGACCCAAAGGGGAGGGUCCCUCCUGAUCUUCUUUAUAAAAGCUCAAGGUUGAGCCCUAGAAUAGGGCAAUCUACUGUGUGCUUGACAAAAUCAAGCUUACAAUGAGUCCGAAAGCUUACACCUAAGCCUGAAGCUAAAAUUUGAGCAGUUCCUGACCUGAUCAAGUACAGUGAGACCAAAAGCUUAUAUGCAAACUUCAGGUGAGAACUUCAGCUACCAAAAUCUGAAGGGUUAAUUGAAUCAGCAGUUGGAGAAGGCUCUCAGAACUUUCAGUCCUCAGGACAUCAUACCAUCUUAGAAGAACUGAAACUAGCAGAAACCCAGAAAAAAAAAAAGUAAGGGUAGUAUCAAAGAAGGACUGAAGCUUAAGAGGGUACCCUAACAUCCCAGAUAAUAAACCUGCCUAUAAAAAGAUAGGGAAAAUGAGC